rnacentral:hammerhead_ribozyme from 1 species
GCAUGGCUGAGGAGUCCCACAAUAGGACGAAAUGACCAUCCUAAGC